rnacentral:rRNA from 1 species
GAUGAACGCUGGCGGCGUGCUUAACACAUGCAAGUCGAACGGACCCAUUCUUCGGAACGGGUUAGUGGCAGACGGGUGCGUAACACGUAGGUGACCUGCCCUGAAGUGGGGAAUAAUUCCGCCAACGCGGAACUAAUACCGCAUAUGUUCGGUGAUUCAGUUUGCCGAGUAAAGCCGAAAGGCGCUUCGGGAUGGGCCUGCGGCGGAUUAGGUAGUUGGUGGGGUAAUGGCCUACCAAGCCGAUGAUCCGUAGGGGGCGUGAGAGCGUGGCCCCCCACACUGGCACUGAGACACGGGCCAGACUCCUACGGGAGGCAG